rnacentral:lncRNA from 1 species
GGCAGAGGAGCCACACUGGGGAAAUGCUAGUAUUUUCCAUUGUAAAAAUGGGUCCUUUUGAUAGAUUUUUCUACACAAAAUCUCCCACUUAAAAAUACAAAAACUGGCAUUUAGUCCAAGAUGGGGUCUGUAGCAUUUUCGUCAAUGCUAGUAUUUUCCAUUGUAAAAAUGGGUCCUUUUGAUAGAUUUUUCUACACAAAAUCUCCCACUUAAAAAUACAAAAACUGGCAUUUAGUCCAAGAUGGGGUCUGUAGCAUUUUCGUCAUCACAGGGGGAAGUCAUUCCAAGCCUUAGUGGUCCCCACCACUACCCUCUCUGCAUUUGCCUAUCUGCACCUUGCCUGAGCAUGGAGUCAUUCAAUGACCAACCUGUUAGGUGUGGAGUCUUUCACUCAGCAGACCGGUUUCAAGCUUCAGCCACACCGCAGAGUGUGAUAGCAGUGGUCUGGGAUCCCGUUGGAUGCAGAGGCAAGGAGGCAUCAGUUUGGGGCCCAGCCCAGGAGGAAGACCUCACAGGGUGAGUGAGUGCCCACCUUCAGGCAGCCAACCUGGCUUUCAGGGCACAGUGUGCAGAGGUCACAGUUGGGCGAAAUCAAACUUGUAAACGGGCCUGAAGAUGAAGCCCAGGGUCCUGUCAGGUCCUGUUCUCCCAAAAAUCUUUACAGGUACCUUGGUCUGGGUGUGCAGUCCUCAGAAG